UACGUAGGCAGCGAGCGUUGUUCGGAGUUACUGGGCGUAAAGAGUGUGUAGGCGGUUUUCUAAGUUUGGUGUGAAAUCUCCCGGCUUAACUGGGAGGGUGCGCCGAAAACUGGAAGGCUUGAGUAUGGGAGAGGUAAGCGGAAUUCCUGGUGUAGCGGUGAAAUGCGUAGAUAUCGGGAGGAACACCAGUGGCGAAGGCGACUUCCUGGCCUGUUCUUGACGCUGAGGCGCGAAAGCUAGGGUAGCAAACGGG
rnacentral:rRNA from 1 species